AGCAGCCGCGGUAAUUCCAGCUCCAAUAGCGUAUAUUAAAGUUGUUGCAGUUAAAAAGCUCGUAGUUGAAUUUCGGGGUUAGUAGGUUGGUCAUGCCUCUGGUAUGUACUGGUCUCACUGAUUCCUCCUUCCUGAUGAGCCGUAAUGCCAUUAAUUUGGUGUUGCGGGGAAUUUGGACUGUUACUUUGAAAAAAUUAGAGUGUUUAAAGCAAGCUAACGCUUGAAUACAUUAGCAUGGAAUAAUGAAAUAGGACGUUCGAUCCUAUUUUGUUGGUUUCUAGGAUUGACGUAAUGAUUAAUAGGGAUAGUUGGGGGCAUUAGUAUUCAAUUGUCAGAGGUGAAAUUCUUGGAUUUAUUGAAGACUAACUACUGCGAAAGCAUUUGCCAAGGAUGUUUUCAUUAAUCAAGAACGAAAGUUAGGGGAUCGAAGACGAUCAGAUACCGUCGUAGUCUUAACCAUAAACUAUGCCGACUAGGGAUCGGAUGAUGUUAAUUUUUAAUGACUCAUUCGGCGCCUU
rnacentral:rRNA from 1 species